rnacentral:rRNA from 1 species
AGCGAACGCUGGCGGCAGGCCUAACACAUGCAAGUCGAACGGAUCCUUCGGGAUUAGUGGCGGACGGGUGAGUAACACGUGGGAACGUGCCCUUUGGUUCGGAACAACUCAGGGAAACUUGAGCUAAUACCGGAUGUGCCCUUCGGGGGAAAGAUUUAUCGCCAUUGGAGCGGCCCGCGUCUGAUUAGCUAGUUGGUGAGGUAAAGGCUCACCAAGGCGACGAUCAGUAGCUGGUCGGAGAGGAUGAUCAGCCACAUUGGGACUGAGACACGGCCCUAACUCCUACGGGAGGCAGCAGUGGGGAAUUUUGCGCAAUGGGAGAAAGCCUGACGCGGCCAUGCCGCGUGAAUGAUGAAGGUCUUAGGAAUGUAAAAUUCUUUCACCGGGGACGAUAAUGACGGUACCCGGAGAAGAAGCCCCGGCUAACUUCGUGCCAGCCGCCGCCGUAA